UAUCCGUUCAUCUACUAACAGGUUUUAACAGCCAGGCCAAUCUUCUUCCACACAGAGCAAUGUCAGAAAACCCAGGCAACUCUCAGAGCCAAGAAGGAAGUCAUUACCAGUCUCCAUGGGUGUAUUCUAAGUCCCAGAUGUGAAAGAAGGAGGCCUCUCCCCACGGGUUCACAGAGAGCUGGACACUAAUUGAAGCCGCCCCAAAGCUGAGGGGCUAACCAGAUGCACCCGGAUGGACAAGCCUACUUCUUCAGAUUAAAGGGGAGAAAAAGAACUCCCCCUUGCCCAUUUCUACAUUACUCUUAGGGCACAAACCAAAUGCUUUAUUCAACUAUGUAUCUUUACUGCAUGGGAAGACGUUCAUUGUGCAGUCGUUAAUAACUGCUAGGUGCUGAAUAGGCACAUGAAUAAAUUUUCCCCACGUUCGACAUCAGAAAGGCAUUAAUAAAUUAUAAGAUGGGGGAAAAAGAAAUGAGGGUUAGUAGGUUAGUGUCACUAGUAAGAAGACUGUUGGAAGAGAACAUGUCGGCAGGGUUUGGUCUUGAAGAUUCAGAACAAAUACAGAGAAGGAAUUGUUUGUGGGUUUGCCUGUGUUGUCACACUGCCAUAUGUGCAUGAAUAAAAGAGUAACCAAGACACUGCCGAGGACAAGGUCAGCCAGGUUGUCUAAAACAGGAAGGACACACAAUGUAGGCCAUCAUAGAAGCGUAAGCAACUCACAGCAUGUGACUUCCAACACACCUUGUCCUCAUAGCUGUUCCUUUGGAACAAAGAAACUGUCCUGGAGCCAAAGUCAUGGGCUGAGCUGUGUGCUUUUCUGUUGGGGAGUAAAACACGUCUGUGCCCUGCAACGCCUAAGUUCAUGGAGACCCACUGAGCCUCAUCGAGCCCUUAGCCUAGUAUUUAAUCAUCAGAUGAUACCACAAGGAUGGAGCACACAUUCAGAGCUUCCUGUAAGAGCCAGACUGCUGAGUGAGACUGAGCAGCAAGCAUUGACGGCGUUUCAUGUCACGCAGAACCCUUGGAGCCAGCCAUGGUGUGAGCCUCGAUGGUCAACUGAGUGAUCAAGGCAAGGAAAUGGAAGCCAAAGAGAACCAAGCACUGAAGGGUUGGUGGGGGGUAUCCCCGCUAUUUUUAGGUUAAAAAUAAGUUAUAUUAAAAGCAAAC
rnacentral:lncRNA from 1 species